CUUUACUGCAACUUGACGUUGGAACUUGGCUGUAUUUGUGUAGGAUAGGUGGGAGACUUUGAAGCAGGGCCGCCAGGUCUUGCGGAGUCGUCGUUGAAAUACCACCCUGGUGCUGACGAGUUUCUAACCGUGUCCGUAAGCCGGACAUAGACAGCGUCUGGUGGGCAGUUUGACUGGGGCGGUCGCCUCCUAAAAGGUAACGGAGGCAUUCAAAGGUCCCCUCAGCGUGGUCGGUAAUCACGCGCAGAGUGCAAACGCAUAAGGGGGCUUAACUGCGAGACCGACAGGUCGAGCAGGUACGAAAGUAGGAGUUAGUGAUCCCGCGGUUUAGCGUGGAAUUGCCGUUGCUCAAUGGAUAAAAGGUA
rnacentral:rRNA from 1 species